rnacentral:rRNA from 1 species
CACGUAGGGCGCAAGCGUUGUCCGGAAUUAUUGGGCGUAAAGAGCUCGUAGGCGGUCUGUUGCGUCCGCUGUGAAAACUCGGGGCUUAACCCCGAGCCUGCAGUGGAUACGGGCAGACUAGAGGUAGGUAGGGGAGAAUGGAAUUCCCGGUGUAGCGGUGAAAUGCGCAGAUAUCGGGAGGAACACCGGUGGCGAAGGCGGCUCACUGGCCCGAUACUGACGCUGAUGCACGAAAGCGUGGGGAGCAAACAGG